GGGGGGGGGGGGGGGGGGGGGGGGGUUCUGCGGUUGUUUGAUGGCGGUGGGUUUAGCCGAAGAUGUAGAGACGUUGUUUCAUAACGGUGGUUCUGCCACCGGUGAUCACCAUUUGGGCUCCGUUUCGGCACAGUAGAUCGGAAACCACAAACCUCAUGUUAGAGUUUUCAUACGCAAAGAGUAAGAGAAAGACCUUACGGUGUACAGAAGGAGAGAGACAGACGGUGGGGUUUAUGGUUCCGCCUCCUCCCCGACCUUCUUCAAAACUAUUCAAAGAGAGAGAACAGUGGAGCGGCUCCGGAAUAAAGAGAGAAGGAUGACAGAUUAGAAUGCUUGCCUGCCACCGAUCUGCCGUUGAAAGGCGCAGAAGAACGAAAGGAGCAUUUUCCAACCUGAUUUCACUUGGGUUCUUUCCUCUGUAGCUUUCGAGGCAGCGCCCACUUCCAAUUUCAUCAGCAAUUGGAACAAAACAUGUGAUAUACAAAACAUUUCAUCAAGAUGAUUCUUAAUAUUCAUACAUUUUUAGGUGAUUAAAAGACCUAAAUAAACUUUAUGGUGAAACAAAAUGGGUUGCAAGAGCAAAUUUUGGUUGUAGAUUGUUUAGGCGUUCUGGCCAGAACCAAUAAGGAGCAAUAAAGUUUUAGGAGCCGAUUGUCAUGUUAAUAUUGGACAAAUCACUAGUUCUAAUAAGCUAAAGGAAUCUAUUGUUCUUUUGUGUUGGUGCCACUUUGGUAAGGUUUGGAAAUUCAACCAAGACCCAAGAAAGGCUCCGGGCGACUCAUGCGGCUACAAAUGAUUCACGAAGAUAAUUAGCUAAGCCUCAUUGAAGAUUCAAGCUUCCGAUGUCGAAUGAUGACGCAAGAAGAUUUCAAAUUUCAGCAUUUGAAAAAUGAAAUUUGGGAAUUUUCGGGAUUGCUUUUCAUAUCACGAUUCAACCAUGGUGUGUAGGAAGGAUGUCGCCUACGUUAUCAUAAAGCUUGAUGUUUGAGGGUGAUUAUAUCGAACGGGAAAAGAAAAGAAAUAUCAUUCCAUGGAAGUUGCUUAUGUAUAAAAGUGGAGAUCAUAAAUAGGAUUAACUACGUUGCAGGAGAGGAUAAUGUUCGUGAACUUCCACUAGCUCAAGUUCCUAAGUUGGCUACAAAAGUUGAGUAGCAGCAAUGCGUCAAAACAACAAAGCAACCAUGAAGUUAAAAACUUCGCUUGAUGUCAUAUGCUAUAGCGCGUGUUGGCGAUGUUUCGUCAUUCGUUGCCCGCGCCGCAACGCGCGCGGGGUCUAAUUUCUAGUUAAACAAUUUAAACGGUACUACAGUCUACACAUUGAAUUGAUCAAUUGAAUAAGGCCAAGGUCAUUAUUCUACGUCAAAAUAAGCACACACUUUUGUAUUCUAUAGGGCACUAUUUAUAUAGGAGUGGAUUACAUUAAAACAUAAUGUAAUAUUUUUUUUAAAUAUUUUUUGUUAUAUUAGCAUAAUAUAAGUGUUUAUACAACCAUGUAAAUCCCAAUACAUUGUAAUAUAGUUUCACAUUUUUACCAUUUAAUAUAAGAUUUUUUACCCUUCAA